UAAAUAGAGCCGCACACUCAUUAACAUCCUCUUUUCCUUGUUGCAGUGAUGGGUGUCGGUGGUGUUUGUGGCGGACAGACGCAUAAUCCACUCGUGGUGGCUCCAUACACGGAUUGAAUCACCUGGGCUAGAUCUUGGAGCCCAAGGAUAAGGUUAGUAUCAUCCUUGAAUAGACGUGAUGUACUGAUUUCACAUGUCCUGCAGAAAUGGACUCAAAAUAGAAUAGUAUUUUACUUAACUCUCUCUUCUGCUCUUGCAGGUAAAGGAUCCUUCAUCAGCAACUCCAGUAAUGGGUCACCCCCAUGUGUCAGAGUUAAAAGUAAAGCAUGUUAUUUGUGUUGUUUUUUUUUUAUUACAUGUAAUGCUGUAAUGUGUUCUGUUUGAGUUUCCUGGAAGGUGUAAAACUGUACCAAGAUUUUACUAACCCAGUUAAUAAAGCUGAGCUGU